AUCGAACAAAAUAUAGAUCCUCAUAUAAAACUGAGAAUACGGCUCAGAAGUUUCUACCCAGCACCGUAAAUGACUGGACUAUGAGGGAAGUAGAAUCGUUG
rfam:Virgibacillus massiliensis genome assembly, contig: 000003